UACGGGAGGCAGCAGGUGGGGAAUAUUGCACAAUGGGCGAAAGCCUGAUGCAGCUAUGCCGCGUGUAUGAAGAAGGCCUUAGGGUUGUAAAGUACUUUCAUCGGGGAGGAAAAACAAAACUAAUAAUUUUAUUUCUUGACGUUACCCGAAAAAGAAGCACCGGCUAACUCCGUGCCAGCAGCCGCGGUAAUACGGAGGGUGCUAGCGUUAAUCAGAAUUACUGGGCGUAAAGAGCACGUAGGUGGUUUUUUUAAGUCAGAUGUGAAAUCCCUGGGCUUAACCUGGAACUGCAUUUUGAAACUGAAAUACUAGAGUAUCGUAGAGGGAGGUAGAAUUCUAGGUGUAGCGGUGAAAUGCGUAGAUAUCUGGAGGAAUACCUGUGGCGAAAGCGGCCUCCUAAACGAAUACUGACACUGAGGGUGCGAAAGCGUGGGGAGCAAACAGGGAUUAGAUACC
rnacentral:rRNA from 1 species